GACGAACGCUGGCGGCGUGCUUAACACAUGCAAGUCGAACGGGCCUGCGUCUUUCGGGAUGUGGGUUAGUGGCGAACGGGUGAGUAACACGUGGGUGACCUGUCCUGUACUUUGGGAUAAGCCUGGGAAACUGGGUCUAAUACCGAAUAGGACUCCGGGCUGCAUGGCUUGGGGUGGAAAGUUAUGGCGGUAUGGGGUGGGCCCGCGGCCUAUCAGCUUGACGGUGGGGUGAUGGCCUACCGUGGCGA
rnacentral:rRNA from 1 species